rnacentral:rRNA from 1 species
AGGGAAUCUUCCACAAUGGACGCAAGUCUGAUGGAGCAACGCCGCGUGAGUGAAGAAGGCUUUCGGGUCGUAAAACUCUGUUAUUGAAGAAGAACGUGUGUGACAGUAACUGGUCAUGCAGUGACGGUAUUCAAUCAGAAAGUCACGGCUAACUACGUGCCAGCAGCCGCGGUAAUACGUAGGUGGCAAGCGUUGUCCGGAUUUAUUGGGCGUAAAGCGAGUGCAGGCGGUCUUUUAAGUCUGAUGUGAAAGCCUUCGGCUUAACCGAAGAAGGGCAUCGGAAACUGGGAGACUUGAGUGCAGAAGAGGAGAGUGGAACUCCAUGUGUAGCGGUGAAAUGCGUAGAUAUAUGGAAGAGCACCAGUGGCGAAGGCGGCUCUCUGGUCUGUAACUGACGCUGAGGCUCGAAAGCGUGGGUAGCAAAACAGGAUUAGA